UGUCGUCAGCUCGUGUCGUGAGAUGUUGGGUUAGUCCCGCAACGAGCGCAACCCUUGCCUUUAGUUGCCAGCAGUUCGGCUGGGCACUCUAAAGGGACUGCCGGUGUUAAACCGGAGGAAGGUGGGGAUGACGUCAAGUCCUCAUGGCCUUUAUGACCAGGGCUACACACGUACUACAAUGGCCGAUACAAAGGGCAGCGACACUGCGAGGUGAAGCCAAUCCCGUAAAAUCGGUCUCAGUCCGGAUUGGAGUCUGCAACUCGACUCCAUGAAGUUGGAAUCGCUAGUAAUCGCGCAUCAGCAUGGCGCGGUGAAUACGUUCCCGGGCCUU
rnacentral:rRNA from 1 species